rnacentral:rRNA from 1 species
UACGGAGGGUGCAAGCGUUAUCCGGAUUCACUGGGUUUAAAGGGUGCGUAGGUGGGCAGGUAAGUCCGUGGUGAAAUCUCUGAGCUUAACUCAGAAACUGCCGUGGAUACUAUUUGUCUUGAAUAUUGUGGAGGUGAGCGGAAUAUGUCAUGUAGCGGUGAAAUGCUUAGAUAUGACAUAGAACACCAAUUGCGAAGGCAACUCACUACACAAUUAUUGACGCUGAGGCACGAAAGCGUGGGGAUCAAACAGG